rnacentral:rRNA from 1 species
CCCUUAGAUGUUCUGGGCAGCACGCGCGCUACAAUGGUCUUCGCAAACGGAUGCAUUCUCGAAGGAGAAUGCCAAUCUUGGAAUCUAUGCCUUGGUCGGGACAGUUGCUUGCAAUUUUUCGACUCGAACCAGGAAUUCCUUGUAAUCGUGAUUCAUCACAUCACGAUGAAUACGUCCCUGCCCUUUGUACACACCGCCCGUCGCUCCUACCGAUUUCGAGUGGUCCGGUGAACCAUCUGGAUUGGAUCGCAAGAUUCGAGAAGUUUAGUAAACCUUAUCACUUAGAGGAAGGAGAAGUCGUAACA